rnacentral:lncRNA from 1 species
AAUGUUUUGUUUUUGAGUGCAUACAAGCAUGAUUCCGCCUUUAAUUGUUAAUUUCAUGCUAUAUGAUGUUGCUCAAAUGAACAUGUUUUCACAAAAUAAUUCCUUCAAAUGGUAUCAGAGCCUAGGUCUAGUAGUUGGUGAAUCCUUUUGGGUUUUUUGUAGUUCAUAGUUUGUGAUUUAAAAGUUGUAAUUGUUACAAGCUUUAUUCUUGCUUCUUUGAAAGUAAAUUUUGUUGGAAAAUUUGCUAUCUCAAAUGUUGUAGAUGUUGUUCAUAUGAGCAUGAAUAUUGGAGCUAAAAUUUGGUGCCAUGCUUUUGGGAAAAUUCGGCCAAAACCAAAGGGUGGAUUUUUGGGUUCUUGUUUGACUUGUUAAAGUGUUUUAAUGUGUUCUUUGGAACCCCUAAGUACCCUAGUUUGGUUAGAUGUUAUUUCCCUUAAGUAAGAAUGGUUUUGGAAUGUUUUUUGGGUGAAAAAGGUUCAUGAAAAAAUUUGGGUUUUUCAUGGAUGUUCUUCAUUGUUCUUGAUGUUCUUGCCAAGAACAAAAAGGUUUGGUGUUUUGAUUCAAAGUUUUGAUUUAUUUCAUAAAGUUUAUGUGAUAUGUUUUUAAAUGAUUUAUCAUGUAUUUAAAGUGUUAGAUAUUUGUAUAAAUGAUGAUUGAAAUAAUUGUGAUUGAAUUAUUUCAAAACUUAUCUUACAUACACUUGCAUGUUUUUGACAAAACUCACAAAUCAACACACACACCAACCUUAUCUCUCCCCCAAAACCGGCCACUCCCUCAAAGGGAGUACUUUUGGGGCUUUUAUGCAAUUACAUAAAGUUUUGAUACUUUUGUGUAUUUGCACUUUGGCCCAAAAGUUUACGUUUUUACGUUUAGGUCCAAAAACGCUAAAGGACAAAUUGUUUUGUUCCUUUAAUGAAGUUUUUGCAUUAUUAAAAGUUUGGGUUCUAGUUGUAUUUACAUGAAGUAGUGACUUUUGUGUAUUGUACAAAGUGACCCCAAAAGUUUUUGUUAUUGCAAUAUGGCCCAAAAGUUGAGGUUAAUUGCAUGAUGGCCCAAAUAGGAUGAGAACAAAAUUGUUUUGUCUCUUUAAAUGAGAAUUGGAUUUUCAUUUUGUUUAGCUCCAUUUAAAUCAAUUUUAUGGAUACAAAAACCAAAUGAAAAUUGUGACAGCCCGUCCCUAAUUUUAAGAAUUUUUAAAGUUUUAAUAAAGGAUUUUACAA